rnacentral:rRNA from 1 species
UACGUAGGGUGCGAGCGUUGUCCGGAAUUAUUGGGCGUAAAGGGCUCGUAGGCGGUUUGUCGCGUCGGGAGUGAAAACUCAGGGCUUAACCCUGAGCCUGCUUCCGAUACGGGCAGACUAGAGGUAUGCAGGGGAGAACGGAAUUCCUGGUGUAGCGGUGAAAUGCGCAGAUAUCAGGAGGAACACCGGUGGCGAAGGCGGGUCUCUGGGCCGAUACUGACGCUGAGGUGCGAAAGCGUGGGGAGCAAACAGG